GCUACUGGAGAGGGGGCAGGGAGGCUAUCCUGGACAGCUGGUGCAGACUCAUCAGGGCAGGCAGCCCCACAGGACCACACACUCCCAGGCUGAAGCUGGCACUUCCCUGGGGCAGAUCAGUAUUAAGCUUGUUGACAGGUAACAUGUCUUCUGUGGGGAGCUGGCUUCUGUCCCUUUACCCUAAGCGCAGUGGCUGUGAUUGAAGGUUGAAGACGCAUGUUCUCCUGGGGACAAAGCCCAGGAUGGAGAAGUAUGAACCCGUGAGGCCUCUGUACUUUGACAUGUCCAGCACCAGGAACAGCGGCCACAAAAGGAUCAGCAGGAGCUCACUCCAGCGGUGCUGGAAUCUGUGGCAGGAUCCAGGAGCAGGGCCGGUAAUCUACAUCUGAGAGCAAGGCCUUGUAUUGGGGGCAUCCGGCAACCCCAUGUGAAGCCGAGCUGAUCACCGUGAACAUGCCUUCAAGAGCGAGUGUCUCUCCUCAGGGUCCAUCUUUGCUGAGUAUACUAAGGAAUGAGAGGGCGAAGGGGGAGGCAGCCUCUCCCCCACACACCACAUAUCACACACCAUACACAUACAUCCACAUACAUCCUAUACACACCUCAUACACACCCCACACCAUUCACAGCACACACAGAUACCAUACAUAAUACAUACACACACACCAUACAUAAUACACACACACAUACCAUACAUAAUACAUACACACACACAUACCAUAUAUAAUACACACACACCAUACAUAAUACAUACACACACAUACCAUAUAUAACACACACACACAUACCAUAUAUAAUACACACACACACACCAUACAUAAUACAUACACACACACAUACCAUAUAUAACACACACACAUACUAUACAUAAUACAUAUACACACACACCAUACAUAAUACACACACACACAUACCAUACAUAAUACACACACACACACCAUACAUAAUACAUACACACACACAUACCAUAUAUAACACACACACAUACUAUACAUAAUACAUAUACACACACACCAUACAUAAUACACACACACAUACCAUACAUAAUACACACACAUACCAUAUAUAACACACACAUACCAUACAUAAUACAUACACACACAUACUAUACAUAAUACACACACACACACCAUACAUAAUACAUACACACACAUACCAUACAUAAUACAUACACACACAUACCAUACAUAAUACAUAUACACACACACCAUACAUAAUACAUACACACACACAUACCAUACAUAAUACACACACAUACCAUAUAUAACACACACACAUACCAUAUAUAAUACACACACACACACCAUACAGCACACACACAUCACACAUAGCAUACAUACCACAAUACACACCACACACGUACAUACACCACACACACAUCACACAUACCACACACAUCCCCCCCUCACACAUAUACCACACACAACACUACCAAACUGUUUUGCCUCUUUCUUGAGGCCACACAGCACGUGGAGGCCAACAGCUUAGUCAUCUCAGGGAUCACCAACUCUACAGCAGUCUUUCACCCACUGCCGACCCAAAUCUGCCAAUCUAAAGAGGUGAAGCCUAUUCACCAAGGAUAACCCUGUUGCAUCUGCUGGCAUAAUCCCACAGGAGCUGGACGGCCAGGGAUCCAAGGCCAGGAGAGAACCAGAGAGGCACGUGACUGGCACCCCCACCCUCAAGGCACUGCCUGGUUCCCAGGGUGUUGUGGGAUUAAACGAUCAUGCUCCAAUGUCUGCAUUGAAUCCCAGGGACAGGUGAUUCCAGGUUGUAUCAAACUGACAAACCACAAGUAACAAACCUUUACCAACUGAGCCACCUCCUGCCUGUUUCCACUUUUUGACUGUUGGGUUCAUAGUGCGAAAUGAAUUCCAGAGGAAUCACGAUGGUUGUGGCAGAAAGCAGCAAGUGCAGAGGCUUGAAUGAAAAUGACCUUACACCAGUUGGUAGAAUUGUUUGGGAAGGAUUCAGAGGUGUGGCCUUUCUGGAGGAAGUGUGCCACUGAGGGUGAACUUUGAAGUUUCAAAAGCCAUGUCUGCCCCUUCCUCUGCCUGCAACUUUCAGGUCAGACGUGUACUCUCAGUCUGUGAUAUUCUCCAGUACCACAUCUGCAUGCAUGCACCAUGAAUCUCUGAAAUUGUAAGCAAGGCCCUGAUUCAAUACCUUUUCUGGUCAUAGUGCCUCCUUAUGGCAGUAGAGUAGAGACCAAGACAGCAGGAAUGGCAGCAGGGACCGGAAGCUGAGAGUUCUUGAACCAUAAGCCAGAAUCAGAGAGAGCCAGGAAGAGUAGUAUGAGGAUUUAAACUCUCAAGCCUCCCUCAGUGACAGAUUUCCUCCAGUAAGUUCACACCUUCUAAGCCUCCCCAAACAAUGCCACCAACUGGGGAUUCAUUCAAACCACCACAGGACAAGCUCCGGGACCGUCCUUGUUUUAUUGCUGACUUUUCCAUGUCCACUUUGGACAUACAAGCUGCAUCUCAGCUCCCAAAUGAGGACAGUCCCCAGGGUCACAAGGCAUGGACAAGGAGAACAUUUAGUCUCCGAUUCUUCUGGCACCAGCCAGAAGAUCCAGCUGUCCCCAUGGAGCACACGGUCUUCCUAAAGGACUCUCCUUGGAAUGGAAGGGAGGGCCAGCUAUUCUCCAAAGUGGACGGAGUGCUCAGGUAUAACCCAAACAACCAAUCCAGAGGAUUCGCCAAUGCUGUGCCACCAUAGACAGAGGCUAUCUUUAGCGUUACACUUGACUUGCCUGUGGGUGGUGCUGGCUUCAGCAACCAGGACUACACGAAGAGUCUUCAGCAGAUCAGACUCCUGCAGGAUUCACCCAGUAACAGGAUGGCUGACUCCAGAUGCUCACCAGUAACCUGGAAGGUUGACCCCAUAAGAUAAGGGAUUAUACCUCUCUAACUUCCAUUAGAAGUGCAGAAACGGAUUCCGCAGUGGCAGACAGAUAAAUGGUGAAACUCAACCCUGGAGCUGGGCCCGCUGCCCGUAUGACCAAAUGUAUGAGCCUGGAACCACCAAGAAAGAGGCAGGAAGGCCGAUGCCUGAGGAAGCAGCGUUGAUCGAAUCAGCAGAAGGAGACUCUAAAAUAAGUAUAAUUACUAUCCUUAAAGAGAUAUGUGGUUAUUGUAUUCACGGAGCAAGAAUGGGCUUUUAUAUAAAAGAACUAAUUAGAGAUCAUGGAGAUUUAAAAUAGACGGUCUGAAAAGCAGAAAGAGACAUCUGAGGAGCAAAUUAGUGAGCUGGAAGAUCAGGCAGGUGCCAGCCGAGGAGUUCAGUGCAAAGGGCAGAAGGGGAAAGGUGGGGGGCUUGGACCAGCUCCAGAGGCCCUCAUCGCGUGGCAGCCAUGCCUAAAGGAAGAGAGGUAAGGCAAGAAUGGAGAAAAUGGCCAAGUAUUUCCAAGCCACAGGACGGACAAUCUUGUCUGAUUAACCCAUUGCUGGGAAGAACAUAGAAAACAGGCCUGCAGGACCUGCAGUAGCCCAUUAAUAGGACUAGGAGUCUGAUUCCAGAAAGAGAAAGUCCUGGAGAGGCUAAGUGGGAGUAAGAGGAGCGGGCUGGGGGAGUGGACUCCUGGCAGAGUGUUUGCCAAGCUGGCAUAGGUCCUGAGUGCGGACCCCAGCAUCCACAUAAACAAACAGCGGGGUGCUGUGGUGUGGUGAGCUUAACACUAGGAGGCAUCGGGUAGGUCCCUGGGGCUCCCUGGACAGCCAGCCUCAUCCAACUGACCAACUCCAGGUUCAGGGGGAGAUCUUUCUUAAAAAAUGAGGUGAAGUUCAGAGUUGGAGAGGUGGCUCAACAGGAAGUGCUUGGUGCUCUUCCCACGUUGUGUUCCUAGCUUCAGAGAAUUAGAUGCCUCUGGCCUCCAUAGCCAUCUGCACUCAUGUGUGCAUACCCACAUGUAGAUACUUGUACCCACGCAGAGUUAAAAGAAAUUGAUAAUAUGUUAAUAAACAUGAUAUGUAUUUAUAAUAGAAAUAAAUUAAUUAACAAUUAAUUAAAAUUAAUCUUACGAAAAACCGAAGUGCGGAGUGACUGAAGAGCUCUAACAUUGACCUCUGACCUUUACACCCUCUUCCUCCUCAUUCCUAUAAAUAUGUAUUUUGCACACCAAUAAGUAAUAUCUAGAGUCUGGGUACAAGAGGAGAUGCCCUGGUGGAGGAGAGACCCAUACCAGAUUCUUCCUGGCAACACUGAAACCCAGCUUUCUAGUUUUGGAAAGAAAAGGAAAGCAGACUCAGUUAAUUUUUGAAAGAGUCACUGCACGGCUCAUUCUGAUGAAACAAGAAAAGACGAAGCGAAGGAUGAGUAUGAGGGGAUAGUAAAACCCAGGGGACAUAGCGCCAAGCGUAAGGAGCCCUUCGACGGCUGGAGGUGGAGCUUGUUGCUUUCUUUGUGUUUUUGAAAGACUUUAAUCGUAGGAAAAACACGGUGGGCGAUGAUGUCACAGAGGCUCUUUUGCUCACUGUCUUCCAGAUGAUGCGUACGUCUCGUAUGAUGCAUCUGCAUCACAGAGCCAGGCAAACCUCGUUUAGACCUCUGAUAGGCAACCGCUUUUCAAAGUCAUAUAACUGGGUUAUGUACAUUAGCAUAGAACCCUAAUUGCAUUUUAAAUUUUGCGUAUUUAUUUAUUUUUGUACUUAUUUAUUUGAGGGUGGUGAUUGCUGUGGCUUAUGUGUAGCAGUUGGACCCUCUACACAGGACUUAAGUUUUCUCCUUUCAUUGUGUGAGUCCUGGGUAUCUAACUUAGGGCGCCAGGCCUGGUGGCAAGUGCCUUUAACUGCUGAACCUUCUCAACAGCCCAAAGAGUUAAUCUUUAAAAGGUGUCGUAUCUGUCAUCCUGCUAAACUCAUAAUUUACCCCAGUAAAUCUUCAGUACAUCCAUUCAGAUUUAUCAAGCGGAAUUUUCUGCAUUUCAGAGCUGGGCCUCUUCUGGGUCGAUAUUUGUGACUUUCAUUUCUGCCUCUGUCUUUUCAGACCAGUCAUCCUCCUGUCUCGGGGAAGCUGUGGGGUGAGCACGCACAGCUCAGCUUGUUUACUUCCGACUGGAUAGCUUUUCACAGUUGCCGGUUUGUACCACCGGAGAGUGCCAACCUUGACAAACUGCUUCCUCAGCGUCCUUGAAGCCCAGAUGAAGGACUCUGACUCACAAGCAGCUUGAGUUGAAGAUCCCUUUGCCUUCCUAAGACCCUUGAGAAUGAGUGUGAAGACUCCGUCAAGUCUUACUCACAGAUGACAGAAAGGCUCCUACAUCCACAUAUGGCUGCUUGCUGUUCAGGGCUGGUGCCAGCAUGCCAGUUAACAGCCACUAGAGUGGCUCUAAGAAAAGUCUUGAACACAUGCACACCCCUGAAAGGUAUCACUUAGUAAUCAGGGGUGCAUCGUGGCUUUCUCAGCUCCAUUUUCUUCCUUUUCUAGUAGUAAUCAUGACAAUGGCUUAUCUUAAAAAAGACAUUGAUUCAAUAGACUUAGUGAUAGCUUUAGCCUAUUGGCUUUUCUGUGCCAGACCUACAAGAAGAAUCUAUAUAUUAUUAAUCCAUUUUAUAGAUAAAGGAGCUGCACAGACACAUUAAUUAACGUAUACAGGAUCACACAGUGAGGGAGAUAGACAGAUCCCAGGGUAGUUCCUUUGAACCUCUGCCCCUUGCCUCUGCCAGUGUCUUCCGCCUAAUUGAGAAUUGAACCCAAUCUUAAUUAAAGUUCCAGAGAACUAAACCUCACAGGUUGAUUUAUAAGGAGUCAUUCUGGCUUGGGGUGUCUGCCUUCUAUGUGACACUUCCCUGCAGAGCUGAGAAAACACAUCGUCAUCCAGAAAGCAGAUAGCAUAGGGUCCAAGAAGAACGCAGCCAGCUCCUGUGCAUGCAGGGCCAAGGAGAAAGGUUAAACUUCUGAUUUGCCUGCAGCUCUCAAGAUCGUCGAUGAGUCGAAAGCUAUCAGGCCAGCAAGACGACUCAGCAGCUACGGGUUGCCAAUCUUGCUGACCCGAGUUUCAUCCUCGAACCCACACGGUGGAAGGAAAGAACCAACUUCCGUGAGUUGUCCUCUGACCUCCACACAUGCACCAUAUAUGUACACAAGAUGAAUAAACAAAUGUGAUUAAAAAAAUUUGAAAGGAA